CGCUUUUCUCUAAACCAAAACUUCAUUUCUUUGCUUUUAAUAGACAAUGUCUGUUAGCGUUGUUCUAAAAGCUUCGAUGGUGUUCCAUAAUAUGUGAGGAAUUAAGUUGGAAAAUUGACUUCUGAGUUUUCAAACUGAUUGUCUAGACUCCGGGCAUAUAGGAAUGGUUGAAAACAUGAAGAUGACCAGGUAACUUGUGAAGACGUUGGUACCAGCAAUGGAUGCAGCAAUGGAUGCCGCUGAAGAAUAGAAACCUAAAUAAUGAGGCCCUGGAUUAGGGACUGGCAGCAGGUGCUAUCAGAGGAUGGAAGGAUUCAUGUUAUGGAGAAGUGCAACUUCAGUCACCUGACAACUUGGAAGGCCUGACCACAGGCGAUUAGGAAGGCUUCAAGAGGCACAGCUGGUGGGACUAGGAGAAGCUGCCCUCCACACCAGACCUGGGGCACAGACGGCGCACUUCGAUUUCUGAAGGGGCUUGCGGUCAAGGACUCAGGGCUCUCGGCAGAGAAAAGGCCAUGUGUGGACCCAGGGAGAAAGCAGCCAUUGACAAGCCAAGGAGAGAGGCUUCACCAGAAACCAACCCUGCUGGUACCUUGACCCUGGACUUCCAGGCUCCAGGACUGUGAGAAGGUAAAUGUCUAUUGCCUAAGGCAUGCAGACUGGUAUUUUGUUAGGGUAGCCGCAGCAGUCUAAGAUGCCUAGGGACCCCAAUUUGAUGCCUCUGGGAACCCAAGCAGGUCAGGUGCCCAGUGUCACUGCUACGUAUGUCCUGAACCUCACUGCCCACUGGAAUUACAGUCCCAUACUUCCCCUGCCCCCAUCCUCCAAAACCAGGUUUCAGCUUCCUUCCUAUAUUCCCUUAGUCCUUAUACCUAUGUUUCUCCUGGGACUUGCCAUGUUGUUCCAUUGGCCCAGGAACCCGUCUGCAGCUCAGAGACAUUCUUCAAGAGGUUUUUUUCAUGCCAUGUCUCCAUUGACGUUCCCACUUCAAGCAGCUUCAAACGUGGACUAUAAAUUUUCUCUGUGUGUAUGUGGGAAUGCUCACAGCAAGGAAAGAGGCCAAGUUUCCCCUGCCAUGUCCCAGAUCUGGAGGGACAGACACCUUGUAAGGAGGCUCCAAGAGCUCCUUAUUGAGACUGAGCUGCCUCUGAGGAAGGACUAGACCCUUUAAGAUUCCAGAAGGAAUCAUCCUGUUUCCUGGGAGUCCAUUCCCAGCCUCAGGGUUUCAUCCCAGCAAUGAAUCAAUUAGCCUAGGACUGGAGAGAGGGCUUUUCAAAGUAAGGGAGCCAGCACAGACCUCAGUGGAAAGGCCAUAGAUUUUGGAGUCAGACUCCUGUGGGUUUGGUUUCUGGCUGUGAGACUUACUGGGGGAUCUUAAGCAAGUCAUGUCAUCUCUCCGAACUGCAGUUUCCUCCUCUGUUAUAUAGGAAUAAUGAUCCUCGCUUUGCAGGGUUUUAAUGAAGAUCUCACAUAGUUUGUGGAAAUGCCUGGUUUGGGAUUUUGCAGACAUUUACUCCGUUCACCCUCUUCUUCCUGAGUCAGUCUGGCCAGCAAAUCUGAACUGUAGCUCUCCCCCUGCAUUGUAUGGAAUAGCUUUUGUGUGUGCAUUAUGGGAAGGGGAGGGGAGGAGUAGAAGGGGUGGCGAGGAGUAGAAGGGGUGGCUGCCCUUUAGAAAUCUGAUUUAUCUUCUUAUUGUAUGAAGGAAGUAUGCCCUCAGAAAACGCAAACUAACCAUAACCUCUAUCCAAGCACAUCUUCAGAAAGGUAGACCCACUCUCCAAAUGACGGAUUAGGGAGCAGUCAUUCCUGGAUGCAAUGUCGAUGACGUUGGCAAUUGGCAUUGGGGAUUUCCUGAGUGGAUAAGUGAAUGAAUAAAUGAAAGGCCUUUUUGAGUCUUGGUUUUGGAACAUUGCCAGCUCUCCUGGGAUUGUUCUCUCUCCUGCUCCCUUUGGACUGCUUUUGAGAGCCAGAAUUGAAUGGACUGGGAUUCAGGGCCUGCAGAAAGUGCCGUUCAGAGACAGAUACUUUCUGGGAGUCAUUUUCCUGGUUAUUUCUGAGACACUUGGUGAUGCCACUUUGGGUGCGUUAUGCCUUGUGGUGGGAAUACUUUUUUUUUGGCGGUACGC